AUUAUUUAUAGUUUGCUCCCUCUUUAAUUACAUGUCUGGAACAAACGCAACAAUGUUCUCGCUCAUCAGGAACACAGUUCAUCAAUGAAGCCGACGGAAAUAAAACCACAAGCGUAAGCAAAAACAGCUUUUCUUUAACUGUCAGAACCGUUUAUGCAGUUUUCAUAUUCUGCAAUAGAAAUACACAGAACAGACAAACAGAAAGAUGCUUCACGCCUGAUAAUCGGUUUACAAAACACUGGCUGUUUGACAUUCAUUAUUUUCUCCAGAAUUUUAAAAAACAAACAACAAAUAUAAGUGUCCAGGUCUGCAAUACAUCCUGAUAAAAUGUUUCAGAAAGAAUUUACAGGUAAGGUAUUAAAAAGAAAUCAACAGAAUAAAUCCAAUUUAAAGAGCAAAAAAGCAAAAUAAAAGUUGUUGCCAGGGCGUUGCUAGAGGGUUUUGAGUUGUUGCCAGGGGGUUGCUAUAGAGUUGCUAUGGGGUUUUGAGUGUUGUUAGGGUGUUGCUAUAGGGUGAUUUGAGUUGUUGCCAGGUGUUGUUAAAGGCUGUUUUGAAUUGUUGCCAGGACAUUUCUAUAUGGUGUUUUGAGUUGUUGCCAAGGAGGUGCUAUAGGGUUGCUAUGGGUUUUGAGUUGUUGCCAGGGCGUUGCUAUAGGGGUUUUGAGUUGUUGCCAGGGCGUUGCUAUAAGGUGUUCUGAUAUCUUGUUAACCAAAACAAAAUCAACAAGUCUGACAGUUCAUGUAU